AGCGAACGCUGGCGGCAGGCCUAACACAUGCAAGUCGAACGAACUCUUCGGAGUUAGUGGCGGACGGGUGAGUAACACGUGGGAACGUCCCUUUAGGUUCGGAAUAACUCAGGGAAACUUGUGCUAAUACCGAAUGUGCCCUUCGGGGGAAAGAUUUAUCGCCUUUAGAGCGGCCCGCGUCUGAUUAGCUUGUUGGUGGGGUAAUGGCCCACCAAGGCGACGAUCAGUAGCUGGUCUGAGAGGAUGACCAGCCACAUUGGGACUGAGACACGGCCCAAACUCCUACGGGAGGCAGCAGUGGGGAAUCUUGCGCAAUGGGCGAAAGCCUGACGCAGCCAUGCCGCGUGGAUGAUGAAGGUCUUAGGAUUGUAAAGCUCUUUCACCGAUGAAGAUAAUGACGGUAGUCGGAGAAGAAGCCCCGGCUAACUUCGUGCCAGCCGCCGCGGUAACAC
rnacentral:rRNA from 1 species